rnacentral:rRNA from 1 species
CACUCCUGCGGGAGGCAGCAGUGGGGAAUUUUGGACAAUGGGCGAAAGCCUGAUCCAGCCAUGCCGCGUGAGUGAAGAAGGCCUUCGGGUUGUAAAGCUCUUUUGUCAGGGAAGAAACGGUGAAAGCUAAUAUCUUUUGCUAAUGACGGUACCUGAAGAAUAAGCACCGGCUAACUACGUGCCAGCAGCCGCGGUAAUACGUAGGGUGCAAGCGUUAAUCGGAAUUACUGGGCGUAAAGCGUGCGCAGGCGGUUUUGUAAGUCUGAUGUGAAAUCCCCGGGCUCAACCUGGGAAUUGCAUUGGAGACUGCAAGGCUAGAAUCUGGCAGAGGGGGGUAGAAUUCCAUGUGUAGCAGUGAAAUGCGUAGAUAUGUGGAGGAACACCGAUGGCGAAGGCAGCCCCCUGGGUCAAGAUUGACGCUCAUGCACGAAAGCGUGGGGAGCAAACAGGAUUAGAAACCCCAGUAGUCCC